rnacentral:rRNA from 1 species
GACGAACGCUGGCGGCAUGCCUAAUACAUGCAAGUCGAACGCGAACUUCUGCUCUAGCGGCGCACGGGUGCGGAACGCGUGGGAAUCGGCCCUUGGGUUCGCACUACAUUCAGGGAACAGAAACGAAUACCAGAGGAUGACGUAAGUCCAAAGAGUUAUCGCCGAAGGAUGGCGGCUCGUAGGAUUAGGUAGUUGGUGAGCUAAAGGCCCACUAGGUCGAUGAUCCGGCGCUGGUCUGCGAGGAUGAUCAACCAUAGUGGGACUGAGAGACGGCCCCGACUCCGACGGGAAGCAGCAGUAGGGAAUAUUGGACGAUGGGCGAAAGCCUGAUCCAGCAAUGUCGCGUGAAUGAUGAAGGCCUUAGGGUAGUAAGGUUCUUUUACCCGGGAUGAUAAUGACGGUACCGGGAGAAGAAGCGACGGCUAACUCCGUG